rnacentral:pre_miRNA from 1 species
AGCUUUUUACGGAAGACCUUCUUUCGUAAGAAACAUUUUUUUACAGUUACGGAAGAAGGUCUUCCGUAAAAAGCU